rnacentral:rRNA from 1 species
UGGGGAAUUUUGGACAAUGGGGGCAACCCUGAUCCAGCAAUGCCGCGUGUGUGAAGAAGGCCUUCGGGUUGUAAAGCACUUUUGUCAGGAACGAAACGGUGAGGGCUAAUAUCCCUUGCUAAUGACGGUACCUGAAGAAUAAGCACCGGCUAACUACGUGCCAGCAGCCGCGGUAAUACGUAGGGUGCAAGCGUUAAUCGGAAUUACUGGGCGUAAAGCGUGCGCAGGCGGUUGUGCAAGACAGAUGUGAAAUCCCCGGGCUUAACCUGGGAAUGGCAUUUGUGACUGCACGGCUAGAGUGUGUCAGAGGGGGGUAGAAUUCCACGUGUAGCAGUGAAAUGCGUAGAUAUGUGGAGGAAUACCGAUGGCGAAGGCAGCCCCCUGGGAUAACACUGACGCU